UACGGGGGAGCAAGCGUUGUUCGGAUUUACUGGGCGUAAAGGGCGCGUAGGCGGCCACUGCAAGUCAGUUGUGAAAUCUCCGGGCUUAACCCGGAAAGGUCAGCUGAUACUGCAGGGCUAGAGUGCAGAAGGGGCAACUGGAAUUCUCGGUGUAGCGGUGAAAUGCGCAGAUAUCAGGAAGAACACCCGUGGCGAAGGCGGUCUCUGGGACGGUACUGACGCUGAGACGCGAAAGCGUGGGGAGCGAACAGG
rnacentral:rRNA from 1 species